UACGGAGGGUGCAAGCGUUAUCCGGAUUCACUGGGUUUAAAGGGUGCGUAGGUGGGUUGGUAAGUCAGUGGUGAAAUCUCCGGGCUUAACUCGGAAACUGCCGUUGAUACUAUCAAUCUUGAAUGUUGUGGAGGUAAGCGGAAUAUGUCAUGUAGCGGUGAAAUGCUUAGAUAUGACAUAGAACACCGAUAGCGAAGGCAGCUUGCUACACAAUAAUUGACACUGAGGCACGAAAGCGUGGGGAUCAA
rnacentral:rRNA from 1 species